GAGAAGAUGUCAGAAUGGUUAUGAAGCGAGCUGUAAACUCGUAGGUUUUAUACCUUAUGGGGGUUCGAUUCCCUCUCUUCUCA